rnacentral:piRNA from 9 species
GCGUUGGUGGUAUAGUGGUGAGCAU